CUAGCUCUCUCUCAUUCUCACACUCUCUGGAUAAGACAUAAGAGCGACGGAGGAGAGCCAGAUACUUUCCGGCGACGGCGGCGAGCUCCGUGAUGGAGGGGAGGGGUCAGCGUCGGAGCUCUGCCCAGUGACGGAGGAGAGGCCAUGGCCCUUCCGGCGAGCUCCACGAGGCGAGCUUCGUGAUGGAGGGGAGGGGGCCGCGUCGGAGCUCUGCCCAGCGACGGAGGAGAGGCCAUGGCCCUUCCGGCGAGCUCCGCGAUAGAGGGGAGGGGGCCGCGUCGGAGGGUAGGGUGACGGAGGGGAGGGGACGGCGACGGACUGAAGCGGCUGAGGCAGCGCCCACGGAGGUCUCCCGUCGAUCUCCGCGACGGAGGGCAGCGCGGGGUGUGGAGAGGACGGCGGAGGCGCCCGGCGUCCACGGAGGUCUGUCCCUUCGAUCUCCGCGACGGAGGGCAGCGCGGGGUGGAGGGGACGGCGGAGGCGCCCGGCGUCCACGGAGGUCUCUCCCGUCGAUCUCCGCGACGGAGGGCAGCGCGGGGUGGAGGGGACGGCGGAGGCUCCCGGCUAUGGGAGGAGCGGCGGCGCGGGGUACCGGAAGUUGCCGUACCCCCGAGGCCUGGGCAGGUUGGCAGGGAGAAGGCCUACUCCUCGUAUCUUGCCAAGGCGUCAGCCAUGCCCCCUCGUCCUCGCACAUCGGGGGUUGCUGGUGCUUCUGCGUUAGCCUGCCAUCUCGGCGUUGGUCGAGGCCAGCGUGGGGAGGAGCGGCGGCUUCGGCGGUCGAGGCCAGCGAGGGGAGGAGCGGCGGCUGUGACGUUGGACAUGACCAUCGAGGGGAUGAGCGGUGGCGACGAUUUUUGUGUUUCGGCUACCAUAUCAAGUAUGUUCUCUCUUGCUGAAGCUCUUCAUGGCUAGCACGCGGUACUGCAUACGUUUUUUCAGUAUUCUUUGCGGCUAUGUUUCUAGGAUCAUAUCACCAUCAAAAUGCAUUCAUACUGUAGUUCGGGCAAUUGGAGUUAAGGAAAUAACAGCAUAAAAACACUACUUCCAUCUACUCCAUGAUAUUAUAGUCCAGGAAAUGGAGUACUGAUAUCUCUGCUUUGUAUUGCGAGUUUCCAAGUUGUAUGCUAGUUAUUCAGAGCAUCUGGUACAUGUGAUUAGUACUCCUGCAUUCAGUGUUCAGUGGCCAUGCUCUGUUUUGGUAACAAAAUAUUGAGUUGGUAACAAAAUAUGUAAACCAUCUGCUAAACAUUUUUAGCUUACCUGCAAGUUUGUCGAUCCUGUGUAGCUAUGCAAUAAUGGACAGGAAACUUCUGCCUCUUUCUUGUGCAUUGUUAGAUUUAUGAGCUGUACUCUCAUAGCUUCAGCAUGGCAUGCCAAGAAAUUGGUUUUGAAACUUUUAAUUAGCUGGCCCUUGAUCAGCGUCAUGAAGCAAACCUGUCCAGAAAAUAAGCACACCUAAUACAUAGCACUUGGUGUUGAAAAGUGCUCCAACGAUACAAAUUACUUGGUACAAAUAGGUUACAGUACUUCAAAGUUAUCUAAAAAACCACACAGGUUACAGCUGUACACACACAAAUUACAGGCCCAAGCAGCUUAUUAUGUUGAUGUUAGUUUGCUUCCCUGGGUUCGUCUACUUUCUUCCCAAAUAAGAUUUACAUGAAUUUCCUGUAACCUAGAGUCAAAACAGUAUCUUAUUUUUUGUGAUGCGUUAUUGACAUCAUUGCUAGAUAUAGUAGGCUGCCGUACUGAUAAUAUGAGCACCUUUGAGCAACUUCAAAGUUCAAACUUAUCCCAAGGUUAUUAUGGCAUUUCGUGUUUUUAGGGACCGUGAGUUUUCUCGUAUUCCUAGAGGAUACUAUGAAUUACCCGGCGAGACGAUAAUUACUGAACCUGCCACCAAAGUGGAGUGGUCAGAAUUGCAAGGCGCUCUGUGUGUACAUGCUUAUGGUAUAAAUUCUGAAUUGUACCACAUCAAGCCUGGGUGUGUACCACCGGAAGGAUUGGUCCUCCUCUUAAAUCAAGAGGAUGUAGAUGAAAUGGUGAGAGCCCAUCAAGAUACAAAAAAGUGUGAUUUGUACAUUGUGGCAAAUCAUCAUUUUCGAGGUGAUGGUUACGAUGAGAGUGACGAGGAUGGUGAUGAUGGGUCGAAUAAUGAAGCACCUUUUGGUGCCUGCCUCGAUGUUGGUCAGAGUGGAAAGGAUGAAGAUAGAUCAUCGCCAUGAACGAAUAUUAUGUGUGCUUUUCAUUUAAAAUGAUGAAGCUCCUUUUGGGUCGAAUUAUAGUGUGCUUACCAUGAACGAAUACCGGUUGUCGUUGAUGAUUAUGUGUUUUUUAAAUUAUGAUAUUUCGGUUCUAGAUUAGAAAUGAAUUAUUUUUGUAAUGUCCAAAAGUCUUUUUGGCUUUCGGUUAGGUGCCACUUUGCCCGUUAGAAGAGUAAAUUUGCUCCUCUAAAGGUUUUUUUGCCUUUGGGUUACAGAUGCUCUUAUGUGAAGAAAAGACUCGAAUAGUCAAUUUAUUUCACUACUGAAGUUACUUGCA